UCAGUGAAUAUUCUGCAGCCAGUGGAAUGGUGACGAAUCUCGUAUGUUGUCCGACCUUAUUGGAUUGGUUGGGCCUCGAAGAGGUUCCAGGAAAUAGCCUCCACAUUAGACCGUACCCGAAACCGACACAGGUGGACUGGUAGAGUAUACCAAGGCGCUUGAGAGAACUAUGUUGAAGGAACUCGCAUUUUACCUCCGUAACUUCGGGAUAAGGGGGCCCAUUGCGCGCGCAAGCGCGCCGUGGGGGCACAGACCAGGGGGUGGCAACUGUUUAACAAAAACACAGGGCUCUGCGAAAUCGCAAGAUGACGUAUAGGGUCUGACGCCUGCCCGGUGCCGGAAGGUUAGGAGGAGGAGUGCAAGCUCUGAAUUGAAGCCCCGGUAAACGGCGGCCGUAACGAUAACGGUCCUAAGGUAGCGAAAUUCCUUGUCGGGUAAGUUCCGACCUGCACGAGGGCGUAAUGACUUCCCCGCUGUCUCCAACAUAGACUCAGUGAAAUUGAAUUCCCCGUGAAGAUGCGGGGUUCCUGCGGUCAGACGGAAAGACCCCGUGCACCUUUACUGUAGCUUUGCGCUGGUAUUCGUGACUGUUUGUGUAGAAUAGGUGGUAGACUUUGAAGCUCCGGCGCUAGCCGGGGUGGAGUCGAAAUGUGAAAUACCACCCUAAUGGUUAUGGAUAUCUAACCGCGUCCCCUUAUCGGGGACCGGGACAGCGCAUGGUGGGCAGUUUGACUGGGGCGGUCGCCUCCCAAAGAGUAACGGAGGCGUGCGAUGGUAGGCUCAGAACGGUCGGAAAUCGUUCGUCUAGUAUAAUGGCAUAAGCCUGCCUGACUGCGAGACUAACAAGUCGAGCAGAGACGAAAGUCGGUCAUAGUGAUCCGGUGGUCCCGCGUGGAUGGGCCAUCGCUCAGCGGAUAAAAGGUACGCCGGGGAUAACAGGCUGAUGACGCCCAAGAGUCCAUAUCGACGGCGUCGUUUGGCACCUCGAUGUCGGCUCAUCACAUCCUGGGGCUGGAGAAGGUCCCAAGGGUUCGGCUGUUCGCCGAUUAAAGUGGUGCGUGAGCUGGGUUCAGAACGUCGUGAGACAGUUCGGUCCCUAUCUGCCGUGGGUGUUGGAAUACUGAGAGGAUUUGUCCCUAGUACGAGAGGACCGGGAUGAACGUACCUCUGGUGGAGCAGUUGUCGCGCCAGCGGCAGUGCUGCAUAGCUAUGUACGGACGGGAUAACCGCUGAAAGCAUCUAAGCGGGAAACCCACCUCAAAACGAGUAUUCCCUUGAGAACCGUGGUAGACGACCACGUUGAUAGGCCGGGUGUGUAAGUGCGGCAACGCAUGUAGCUUACCGGUACUAAUCGUUC
rnacentral:rRNA from 1 species